AAGGGCUGCCCAUUUGUGUUGUGUUGUAACAGAUGCACAGAUCUCAGGAGGCCAAAGAGUAUCAUUAGGAGGCUUGAGGCUAGUCAAGCUCUCAUGGCCUCUAGUUAAGGACAUCCUUUUCAAUGUGAGAUUUCAGAAGCAUAACACACCGACAAUAGUGACUACCUCAUCUCUUUGCACGGUGAGAAUGGAAUGCGUAAGUUAUAACUGAUAACAACUGCCAUUUCUGAUCUUCCACAUGAACAAAUAUUUUUGAGGUGCCCAGUUACUUACUCUAUGACCUGCACUGAAAGCAUAGCGGUACAUCAGUGAGACGAGGCUUUGUCCACCUGGCGUUUCUGAGCCCAGGUGGAGCCACCCUACUACUGAAAUCACCACCCAAGCAAAUGUAAGAGCAUCUGCAGCCAGGAUGUAAAAGUCUGAAAUGGCAGGGUGUGGUGCCAGUUGUCUGGGCCCAGGGAAAGCUCCCUUAGGAAGUAGAUGAUGAAGAGAGGAUUUUCCCAGGAGGGAUGGAUUUGCAUCAUGAAUCUGAAGAAGUUGUCAGAAUGGCAGCUAUCCACAUGUAAUUAAACAUUCUGGAAACAAGCUAGAGGCUCUUAUUACCUUCCGGAACUGCACUGCUGGAAUUCUUGAACUAUGGAUACAAACAAACAAACAAACAAACAACAGGCAAACAACCACCCAACAGUUUUUGGGACCCUCUAAAUGUGUGCCUGGAAUAAGAAAGAAAGGAAGAACAGCAAUAUCAACCAACUAGAUCACCCAGAGCUCCCAGGGAACUAAAGCAUCAGCCAAAGGAUACACAUGGAGGGACCCAUGGAUCCAGCUGCAUAGGUAGCAGACGAUGGCCUUGUCGGGCAUCAAAGGGAGGAAAGGCCCUUGGUCCUGUGAAGGCUUGAUGUCCCAGCAUAAAGGAAUGCUAGAGUGGUAACCAAUGUCCAGAACUGUGAUAAGCCAUUGAGCCAAGUCCUUGUAUGCAUCAAUCCUGGGACAUCCACAGGACAGUGUUAGUCUCAUAGUCAAGCACAAGCUACCUGGAGGAUGACUGCCAUUAUCAUACCUAGAGUGAAUCUUAGGUGAACCCUGAAGCCAGUCCACCCUGUACACAGCCUCCGCUGUUGCCUCAUCAGCACUGACCAUGCUCAUCAGACUGAGGAAUGGGCUUCGUGAUCGAGAGAGGAACGAGAAUGAGCUAAACUUUUGACUUGGAUCCCUGGGGGAUGAGACAAACCUGCCAAGGCAGAUACACAAAGAAAGCCUGGCUUGAAGGCAUCCUGAACAAAUGGGCUGGAGAUGCUCCUGGGACUUCAAAUGGAUUGUUGAAUUUACAUAGUGCUUGGCACACAGUAGAUGUUCAAUCAACACUUGUCCUCUAGGCCACUUGGA
rnacentral:lncRNA from 1 species